GUCCGGUGUCGAUGUUCCGAGUCUCAUCAUUGCCAUUAAGGAGCCCGGCGUGGGACCCUAUUUCGGGAUUCACACAUACACUUCAGAAUACCGGGUCUAAGUUGUAGAUUUUAUCAACACAAAUUUCCUGAGGUGAAAGAUGUAGUGAUGGUGAAUGUAAGAUCCAUUGCUGAAAUGGGGGCCUAUGUGAGCUUGUUGGAAUAUAAUAACAUUGAAGGCAUGAUUCUUCUUAGUGAACUAUCCAGACGAUAUAUCCAUUCUAUAAACAAACUGAUCCGAAUUGGCAGAAAUGAAUGUGUAGUUGUCAUUAGAGUGGAUAAAGAAAAAGGAUAUA
rnacentral:lncRNA from 1 species